CGCCGAAGGUGGGGCUAAUGACUGGGGUGAAGUCGUAACAAGGUAGCCGUACCGGAAGGUGCGGCUGGAUCACCUCCUAACAGGGAGACAACAAAAUGUAAAUAUUAAUUUUGUCACCUUAGGUCGAUCGGUAUCUCAGAUUCUUAUUUUUAAGAAUUUCAGUUUCUAAGUUUUUUCUAGGUCACACCCAUUACUUUUUCCUGGGCCAUUAGCUCAGGUGGUUAGAGCGCACCCCUGAUAAGGGUGAGGUCCCUGGUUCAAGUCCAGGAUGGCCCAUAUCUCUAUGUUGGGGGUAUAGCUCAGUUGGUAGAGCGCCUGCUUUGCAAGCAGGAUGUCAGCGGUUCGAGUCCGCUUACCUCCACUGAAUACCACCUCUUACAUAUUUUUAAAGGGGAAAAUUGUUUUGAGUUGUGUCCUAAUUUGCUCUGAGUGAAUCUAGCUUCCUAUUUUUUUUUUU
rnacentral:misc_RNA from 1 species